rnacentral:rRNA from 1 species
AAUACGGAGGGUGCAAGCGUUAAUCGGAAUUACUGGGCGUAAAGCGCACGCAGGCGGUCUGUCAAGUCGGAUGUGAAAUCCCCGGGCUCAACCUGGGAACUGCAUUCGAAACUGGCAGGCUUGAGUCUUGUAGAGGGGGGUAGAAUUCCAGGUGUAGCGGUGAAAUGCGUAGAGAUCUGGAGGAAUACCGGUGGCGAAGGCGGCCCCCUGGACAAAGACUGACGCUCAGGUGCGAAAGCGUGGGGAGCAAACAGGAUUAGAUACCCUGGUAGUCCACGCCGUAAACGAUGUCUACUUGGAGGUUGUGCCCUUGAGGCGUGGCUUCCGGAGCUAACGCGUUAAGUAGACCGCCUGGGGAGUACGGCCGCAAGGUUAAAACUCAAAUGAAUUGACGGGGGCCCGCACAAGCGGUGGAGCAUGUGGUUUAAUUCGAUGCAACGCGAAGAACCUUACCUGGUCUUGACAUCCACAGAACUUUCCAGAGAUGGAUUGGUGCCUUCGGGAACUGUGAGACAGGUGCUGCAUGGCUGUCGUCAGCUCGUGUUGUGAAAUGUUGGGUUAAGUCCCGCAACGAGCGCAAC